CAAGCAGUAGGAGCCCACUUGUUGGGUGACUGCGUACCUUUUGUAUAAUGGGUCAGCGACUUAUAUUUUGUAGCGAGGUUAACCGAAUAGGGUAGCCGUAGGGAAACCGAGUCUUAACUGGGCGAUUAGUUGCAAGGUAUAGACCCGAAACCCGGUGAUCUAGCCAUGGGCAGGUUGAAGGUUGAGUAACAUCAACUGGAGGACCGAACCCA
rnacentral:rRNA from 1 species